rnacentral:lncRNA from 1 species
CACGGCUGUUGGCGGAGCAGCAGAGGCCUUUUCUGUCUUCGUUCGAGUCAGAGCCAAAGCUGUGAUUGGUUGGGUGGGUGUGGGAUGAGUGAAGGGAGCAAUUUUGCACGCUAAAAAAUUUCUCACGAGCGUUGGAGCAUUUUCAAGGAUCAUUCCCCUUUUGGGAAAGCGACUCAACCCCUAAGCCGAGACCGAGGUUUUGUACCCAGAGGUCUACAUGCGGGUGGGCGUGGAACUGACCCCUACCAAGAAGGGGAGGGGGUCAGUCCCGCCAAGUGCCUUCUCCGUUUGCUCCCGUCCCAACGAGGCUUGGACACCUCAGUGUCUCCGCCUGAGUCCUUGUUGCCUCUCGCUCCCUCGGUACUCCUGAUUCUGAAUCAGAAGUCAAGCUGGGAGAUUCUCCGGAUACACUUGCCUGGGCUGACCACCGGUGAUGAUUCCUUUGGUCUUGGGACUUUCUAUUCCGUCUUCACUGGGCUGCACACUGCAAGUCACAAGAGCCAGGACACCUACUCACCUAAUAAGUGGUAAUUAGCUGGUAAUUUCUUUUUCCUGAAGGGAAAUUUAGGAAAAGGCUGUGGAAAUGUAAAUCCUGUUCUCUGAAAUAUUUUUCCUCCUCUGUUUAAUCUUCCUCUAUAAUUUCAAAAAUAUAGCUGAUACAUCACUGUAUUGGCCAAAAUAUAAAACUUAUUUGGAAACCGAAUCGGUCAUUUUACACAAGGAUAAAGAAACAAAAUCCCACUUUCAUCACAUUUCUGAUUUUGAGUUUAAUUCCUCACUGCCAAAUGGAAAUAGUUACAAUAACGUUACAAAGUGCCUCUUAACAGUAACAUAGAAUACUACUUCCUUGUAUAAAGGCUCUUAAAUUCCCAGUGGAUAUCUAAGCAAGACAAUCGCCAAAAAAAAAAAAAAAAAAAAAAAGGGUGAGGGUUUGUUUGGUUUGAUUUGGUUUGGUUUUCCCACGUCGAAUAGUCACAUUCAUUGUAACCCUGAAUUAGGCAUGUGGGGGUAAAGGAAGAUUUCAGUAUUGUCUUUAUUGGAAUAAGAAGAUUGAAAUAUCUAAUCCCGUUUACGUAAAAGGUGUCUUGGUAUAUUUUAACUAACUUUGCGAAACGAAUCGCAAUGACUCAAACCAGAGCGAAAAAAGGGAAGUGAUUUCCCUUAAAACCAGGUGUUGAGCGCCUUGAUGACCCAAUACGGGGUGCGCGCGCGCAGAGUGACCAGACCCCUCUCCACGCAGCUCUGACAGAGCUCUCCAAUUCGGCAAGAGCAUCCGCAGCAGUAAUACCACCAGUACACCGUU